ACGUGUAGUCGUUGGAGAGAAAAGGGAGAGAGAGUCUCAUUCCUAACACAAUGGGGAAACUUAAAGUUCGUGAACUAAGAGGGAAGACUAAGGACGAGUUGCUGAAGCAGCUGGACGAGCUAAAGAAUGAGCUAUCACAGCUACAAGUCCAGAAAGUGACGGGAGGGACUGCCUCUAAGCUCUCAAAGAUAAAAGUUGUCAGGAAGAGCGUGGCUCGAGUCAAGACUGUCAUCAGCCAGACCCAGAGGCAGAACUUGAAGAAGUUUUACGCCAACAAGAAGUACAAGCCUUUGGAUCUCCGCAAAAAGCUCACCAGAGCCAAGAGGAGGGAGUUAACCCCGCGAGAGAGAUCAGCUAAGACGCUGAGAAGAAAAAAGAAGUUGAGCCUCUUCCCUCGUCGUGUUUAUGCUGUUAGGGCCUAGUACAUUGUGGACAUUUUGUUAUUAUUAUUAAUAUAUUACUGUGCACAUUUUAAUUUCAAAUAAUAUUUGUGUACAAAUCAAUAAUGAAAACAGAAA